AAAGGAAGCAUGGCUUUUCUGCCCAAAACCAGUUCCACAGAGUCUUCUAUCCUGGAGAUAAUUGGGAAGUAAUCCAAUUAUCUCCAAGGACAGAGGCAAAACUCCAUUGAACACAUGGCAGCAAAAGACAAUAAAACACAUAAAAACAUAUAACUGUGCAGCCAUUGCACAAAACAGGUACAUUCAACAUAUCCCCAGAUAGCUCAGAUCUGAG